rnacentral:rRNA from 1 species
GAUGAACGCUGGCGGCGUGCCUAAUACAUGCAAGUCGAGCGAACAGACGAGGAGCUUGCUCCUUUGACGUUAGCGGCGGACGGGUGAGUAACACGUGGAUAACCUACCUAUAAGACUGGGAUAACUUCGGGAAACCGGAGCUAAUACCGGAUAAUAUAUUGAACCGCAUGGUUCAAUAGUGAAAGACGGUUUUGCUGUCACUUAUAGAUGGAUCCGCGCCGCAUUAGCUAGUUGGUAAGGUAACGGCUUACCAAGGCAACGAUGCGUAGCCGACCUGAGAGGGUGAUCGGCCACACUGGAACUGAGACACGGUCCAGACUCCUACGGGAGGCAGCAGUAGGGAAUCUUCCGCAAAGGGCGAAAGCUUGACGGAGCAACGCCGCGUGAGUGAUGAAGGUCUUCGGAUCGUAAAACUCUGUUAUUAGGGAAGAACAAAUGUGUAAGUAACUAUGCACGUCUUGACGGUACCUAAUCAGAAAGCCACGGCUAACUACGUG